AGUGAACGCUGGCGGUAGGCCUAACACAUGCAAGUCGAACGGCAGCACAGUAAGAGCUUGCUCUUACGGGUGGCGAGUGGCGGACGGGUGAGGAAUACAUCGGAAUCUACUUUUUCGUGGGGGAUAACGUAGGGAAACUUACGCUAAUACCGCAUACGACCUACGGGUGAAAGCAGGGGAUCUUCGGACCUUGCGCGAUUGAAUGAGCCGAUGUCGGAUUAGCUAGUUGGCGGGUAAAGGCCCACCAAGGCGACGAUCCGUAGCUGGUCUGAGAGGAUGAUCAGCCACACUGGAACUGAGACACGGUCCAGACUCCUACGGGAGGCAGCAGUGGGGAAUAUUGGACAAUGGGCGCAAGCCUGAUCCAGCAAUACCGCGUGGGUGAAGAAGGCCUUCGGGUUGUAAAGCCCUUUUGUUGGGAAAGAAAAGCAGCAGGUUAAUACCCCGCUGUUCUGACGGUACCCAAAGAAUAAGCACCGGCUAACUUCGUG
rnacentral:rRNA from 1 species